rnacentral:rRNA from 1 species
UAUAAAAAAAAUGUGUGGUGUUCUAGUCACGGAUUAAGUACACAAAGACCUUCCGAACUUGGUGGUAAAACUCCAGAGAAGUAACUAUAUAUUUGAUAUUGUAAAAUAGCAUAAUGCCACUGGAAAGAAA